AGUUUGACAUGUUACUGUCCACAAAAACCCUUUCGUUUGCUAAUGAACCCCACAAAAGCGCGGAAAGUGUUUAAAUCAGUUUUAGCCAAUGUACUUAUUGUCAAGUGGAAAGAACCAAAAGCCAGCUGGUCAAGUGAAUCAAGUGAAUCGAUGGUGGGACAACACUCAUGCACGGACUGAAAGAUACACAGAACCAAACAACAUGUACGGAUACAAGCAAACGUUGGCGAUGGCGAUGGCAAAACCAAAUCCCACUAAUGUGCUUAAAUAAAUUUUGCCAGCGUUUAAGCCAAUUAGUCCGUCGGACAUUUUACUUCUUGUCAACUUUGUUAGCGGUACUGCUGUUGGCCGCUUUUGGGGUCGCAGCCCACUUGCAACGCGGCUUGAUUCUGCUUCAGCUUCUGCUGACAACGUGCCUCGGAUUCGGACUCGGACUCGGAUUCCCCCCGUCUGAACUCAUUUGGGGUCCGCUCGUCUAAUUCAUGUACAUGUCAAAAAUCGUCGUCCAGUUGCAUUAUGAGAGCCGAGAGUUGUCCACUUAUUACUGAAGAUGCCGACAGUAGUCAGUCCGCCGUCUGCGUAAUGAUUUGUAAUUUAUGAUUUUCGGCUCCAGCGAAAGGCUAUCUUAUCACCAAAAACAGCAGCAGCAGCAAAACAGCAGCGGCGCAGAAAAAAGCAGACGGACUGCAAUUGUUUGUCCACUUACAGAUACUCUGGGCCGCAGAUACUCAUAUAGCCGGAUACUUGGUUCCUCAGAUACAGCUACAGCUACUGAGACACAAAGAUACAGAUACAUUGCCGCUACCCGUGGCUGAAACGCUAAUCGGCGAGUUAACAUUUUAUCGCUACUGUUCUGGCACUAUGCAAAUAUGUGCUCCUAAAAACAGAUACCCAGAUAUCCAGAUAUCCAGAUAUAAUGACAAGAGGAGGACACAGUCUCUGUGUUCCAUGGCAAAAAGGCAAACUCAAAUAUUUUCGUGUUUGCCCCACGGCUCUGUGCGUUGACAGAUUUGCGGGGCAAUAAAUCUCGGUCGGUUUACUAUAUACGAGUCUACUUGUAUGUGAGUGUAUGCAAGUUACACACUCUCCCACAACCCACACUCUAUAAAUUUUUAUCACAAUAUCUGAGCGGGAAUGUUUAGAAGGCACUAAUUUUGUUAUCUUGUCAGGCCAGUGUACAACACGUCCACCUAUUUGUACAAUAUCUAUCCGCGGGGGAGGUGCGGGGGAUUUGGACUGGUCUGGUUCUGGAAUCGGUCGGUAGUCACUAUCUGUGAGUUAUCACCGAGCUAGCCAUGACGUUGGGUCGCCUUGUCGCAUUAUGUCAAUGACGACAGCAGCGCCAUGAAUGUGCACUGAUUGUUUAGCUUGGUAAUUAUACAAUGGAGCCACCCACUCUUCGUAGUAUCUAUAGUAUGUGUAACCCCAACUCAGGAGGCUCCAGGUCCCAGUUCUGUCGCGAAUGAUGAAAUCACGGGGACAAGUGGCUGUCUACCUGGCGGAAGGUGGAUCUCGUGGCGUGGGAACGUGAUAAGCAGCUCAGAUUAGCCAGGUUUUAUAACAGGCAGCCUGAAUCGAUUCCAUUUAUGAGGAAAACUAUUCAAAUACUUUAUCUUCAUCAAUGCUGAACUAAAUUAAAAUUUAAAUAAAGCAAACUUUUGAUAACUAA